rnacentral:rRNA from 1 species
UGGAUUAGGCAUGACAAGUCGAACGCCGAUAGCAAUAGUCGGAGUGGCGACGAAGGGUGGAGGAACACGUGAGUAAUCUCGCCCUCGAGUUGGGAAUAGCGUACCGGGAAACUGGAAUUAAUACCGAAUAACAUUGCGGGACCGCAUGGUCCUGCACUUAAAGCAGCAAUGCGCUCGAGGAGGAGCUCGCGUCCCAUUAGCUAGUUGGUGAGGUAACGGCCCACCAAGGCCAUGAUGGGUAGCUGGUCUGAGAGGACGAUCAGCCACAGUGGGACUGAGAACUGCCCACACUCCUACGGGAGGCUGCAGUCGAGAAUUUUGGGCAAUGGGCGAAAGCCUGAACCCCAGCAAUGCCGCGUGCGGGAUGAAGGUCUUCGGAUUGUAAACCGCUGUCAAGAGGGACGAAAUUUGACGGUACCUCUGAAGGAAGCCACGGCUAACUACGUGCCAGCCGCCGC